UAGUGAUAUGGAGCAAAACCCUAAAAAGACGGUCUCAGUUCGGAUUGAAGGCUGAAAUUCGCCUUCAUGAAGCUGGAAUUGCUAGUAAUGGCAGGUCAGCAUACUGCCGUGAAUACGUUCCCGGGCCUUGUACACACCGCCCGUCACACCAUGAGAGUCGAUAACACCCGAAGCCUGUAGUCUAACAGCAAUGAGGACGCAGUCGAAGGUGGGAUUGAUAAUUAGGGUGAAGUCGUAACAAGGUACC
rnacentral:rRNA from 1 species